rnacentral:rRNA from 1 species
CAAUAGCGUAUAUUAAAGUUGUUGCAGUUAAAAAGCUCGUAGUUGGAUUUGUGGCGUACGGUGUGUUCCGGGCACUUGUUGUCUGAGUAACCUGCUGUUGCCAUCCUUGGGUGGAACCUGUGUGGCAUUAGGUUGUCGUGCAGGGGAUGCCCAUCAUUUACUGUGAAAAAAUUAGAGUGUUCAAAGCAGGCUUAUGCCGUUGAAUAUAUUAGCAUGGAAUAAUGAGAUAGGACUUUUUUGCAAUUUUGUUGGUUUGCGCAAAGAGGUAAUGAUUAAUAGGGACAGUUGGGGGUAUUCGUAUUCCAUUGUCAGAGGUGAAAUUCUUGGAUUUUUGGAAGACGAACUACUGCGAAAGCAUUUACCAAGGAUGUUUUCAUUAA